rnacentral:rRNA from 1 species
UACCUGCACCCCGAGUGGUCGGGACGUUUAUUGGGCCUAAAGCAUCCGUAGCCGGUUCUACAAGUCUUCCGUUAAAUCCAACUGCUUAACAGGUGGGCUGCGGAAGAUACUAUAGAGCUAGGAGGCGGGAGAGGCAAGCGGUACUCGAUGGGUAGGGGUAAAAUCCGUUGAUCCAUUGAAGACCACCAGUGGCGAAGGCGGCUUGCCAGAACGCGCUCGACGGUGAGGGAUGAAAGCUGGGGGAGCAAACCGG